rnacentral:rRNA from 1 species
GAUGAACGCUGGCGGCGUGCCUAAUACAUGCAAGUCGAGCGAACAGACGAGGAGCUUGCUCCUCUGACGUUAGCGGCGGACGGGUGAGUAACACGUGGAUAACCUACCUAUAAGACUGGGAUAACUUCGGGAAACCGGAGCUAAUACCGGAUAAUAUAUUGAACCGCAUGGUUCAAUAGUGAAAGACGGUUUUGCUGUCACUUAUAGAUGGAUCCGCGCCGCAUUAGCUAGUUGGUAAGGUAACGGCUUACCAAGGCAACGAUGCGUAGCCGACCUGAGAGGGUGGACGGCCACACGGGAACUGAGACAGGGUCCAGACUCCUACGGGAGGCAGCAGUAGGGAAUCUUCCGCAAUGGGCGAAAGCCUGACGGAGCAACGCCGCGUGAGUGAUGAAGGUCUUCGGAUCGUAAAACUCUGUUAUUAGGGAAGAACAAAUGUGUAAGUAACUAUGCACGUCUUGACGGUACCUAAGCAGAAAGCCACGGCUAACUACGUG